rnacentral:rRNA from 1 species
CUCAGGAUGAACGCUAGCGGCAGUGUCUAAUACAUGCAAGUCGGACGGGAUUGAAAUUAAAGCUUGCUUUAAUUUCAUGAGAGUGGCGCACGGGUGCGUAACGCGUGAGCAACCUACCCAUAUCAGGGGGAUAGCCUCUCGAAAGAGAGAUUAACACCGCAUAACAUCAUUUACCGGCAUCGGUUUAUGAUCAAAUAUUUAUAGGAUAUGGAUGGGCUCGCGUGACAUUAGCUAGUUGGAGGGGUAACGGCCCACCAAGGCUACGAUGUCUAGGGGCUCUGAGAGGAGAAUCCCCCACACUGGUACUGAGACACGGACCAGACUCCUACGGGAGGCAGCAGUAAGGAAUAUUGGUCAAUGGAGGGAACUCUGAACCAGCCAUGCCGCGUGCAGGAUGACUGCCCUAUGGGUUGUAAACUGCUUUUGUCAGGGAAUAAACCUUUCCACGUGUGGGAAGCUGAAUGUACCUGAAGAAUAAGGAUCGGCUAACUCCGUGCCAGCAGCCGCGGUAAUACGGAGGAUCCAAGCGUUAUCCGGAUUUAUUGGGUUUAAAGGGUGCGUAGGCGGUCCUAUAAGUCAGUGGUGAAAGACGGCAGCUUAACUGUCGCAGUGCCUUUGAUACUGUAGGACUUGAAUCUAUUUGAAGUGGGCGGAAUAAGACAAGUAGCGGUGAAAUGCAUAGAUAUGUCUUAGAACUCCGAUUGCGAAGGCAGCUCACUAAGUUAGUAUUGACGCUGAUGCACGAAAGCGUGGGGAUCAAACAGGAUUAGAUACCCUGGUAGUCCACGCCCUAAACGAUGAUAACUCGAUGUUUGCGAUACACAGUAAGCGUCCAAGCGAAAGCGUUAAGUAUCCACCUGGAGACUCAAGUUC